UACGUAGGGGGCAAGCGUUGUCCGGAUUUAUUGGGCGUAAAGAGCGUGUAGGCGGCCUUACAGGUCAGCUGUGAAAACUCGAGGCUCAACCUCGAGACGUCGGUUGAAACCGUAUGGCUAGAGUCCGGAAGAGGAGAGUGGAAUUCCCGGUGUAGCGGUGAAAUGCGCAGAUAUCGGGAAGAACACCCGUGGCGAAGGCGGUCUCUGGGACGGUACGUGACGCUGAGACGCGAAAGCGUGGGG
rnacentral:rRNA from 1 species